ensembl:lncRNA
CAACACUCAAUAGUAAAAAGUAUAACAACACUUAAUAGUAAAAAGUAAAGCAACACUCAAUAGUAAAAAGUAUAACAACACUUAAUAGUAAAAAGUAUAACAACACUUAAUAGUAAAAAGUAUAGCAACACUCAAUAGUAAAAAGUAUAACAACACUUAAUAGUAAAAAGUAUAACAACACUUAAUAGUAAAAAGUAAAUUCCCACAACAGAGAAACUAUAUUAUCAAUCAUGCCGUUGCAACCUCACUUACUCCCUCUCUCUUACUCACUCCCCGUCUGAUGCCAUUUACAACCUAACCUCAUACCGCAGUUUUUUGCAGGGGUUUUGUGCAGAAAAGAGUGCAAAGGAGAGGUGUUAGAUUCCGACUAACUGAAUUAAAAACCUGUUUAUGAUGUAAAUGUACAGGAACACAAUGACAUUUACACUGUGAAGAGGACAAUAUAAGGAAAGACAAUGAAUCUGAAAAUCAAGAUGGAGAUCAACCUGUGUAUUACAGUCUUCGUGAUGUUCUGUUCUCUGGAUGAUGUAUUUACUGAACAUCUUGACUGCAAAGGUAUGAAUGAAUUUUGAUUAAAUGAGUUGAUUAAAUGGAGGAAAUGUAAAGUUUGUCAACAGAUCUUGUGAUAGUUAUUUAUCUAAAUGGUGAUGACAUAUAUGUACAAAACAUUUCAGCCUUUUUUCCUAAAUGUAUUUAAAAAUGUAUACAUACGUGUCGAUUUUGUCCAAAUGUAUUUUACCGUCAGACAAGCUCUCUUUACAAUAUGCAUUUUGUAUAGAAAAUACAUUGCAUAAUGUAUUUUGAAGUGUGUAAUAUGUAUUGAAAAAUACAUCUAUAUAUUUCUUAUGUAUUUUCCAAUCCAUUUUCAAAUGCAUGUAGAACAUUGCACCAACGUUCGUUGGACCACCUUCAGCUCUAAUUAUGGUGGAUUUGUUUCUGAAACAUUCAUUUCUGUCCGGUGUUUCAUUCAUUUUUGGCUGAGAUCUUUUAUUGACAAUGGGAGAGUCAAACCAUUCUGGAAUGUAUUUCCAGCACAUGUGAAAAUAAUUCUUCAUGAACCCUGAACCAAUCGUGGACACUUUGAGCCCGAUGAUGUGGACAUUUGUAAUGGACCAAUCAGAUGCUGUGUUAUACUUGUCAUGGGAACAGGGUACACAUUGCGACAAAUGCUUACCUGUUGGAUACUUAAUGACAAUGCAGCACAAUAGUUGAUUAGAUUAGAUUCAACUUUAUUGUCAUUGAACAGUACAAGUACAGUACCACAAAAUGCAGUUAGCAUCUAACCAGAUGUGCAAAUAGAGGAGGGCAGAAAAUGUACAAGUAUUAAGUAAAUGUAUAUUACCAGUGGAAUGUGUUGAUGUGCAAUGAAGGCAAAUGCAGUACAAAUGGCAAUACUAAAUGUGCCAUAAGGCAAAUAGAGGAGGGCAUAAGAUUUAGAAGUAUUUCCAAGUAUAAGGUAUAUGUAUAUUACCAGUGGAAUGUGUAGAUGAGCAACACUUAAUGUGCAAUAAUAAAUAGAGAAGGCCAGAAAAAGUAUUAGGUAGAGUGAUACCCUAACACUGUCAGCCAAUCA